rnacentral:SRP_RNA from 1 species
GCCUGGCGUGGUGGCGCAUGCCUGUAGUCCCAGCUACUUGGGAGGCUGAGACAGAAGAAUUGCUUGAACCCAGGAGGCGGAGGUUGCAGUGAGCCAAGAUCGCACCAUUGCACUCCAGCCUGGGUGACAGAGUAAGACUCUGUCUCAA